rnacentral:lncRNA from 1 species
CGCCCCGCCCGGGUGAUGCAACGAGGGCGGGAGGUUUCGCGGCUCCCGUGUGGGGCAAAGCGGGGCGCGGGUUGCGUCAGGCGGGGUGUCCGGCCCGGGGUCGGCGUGUCCGGCGGUGCUGGGUGCGAGAUUCCCGCCGGGGGAUGCCAGCGGAUCGGCCGCUGCCGGAACCUAGGGGCCGCCGUGCCCAAAAGGGAGAAGCCGGAGUGGAGUGAGCGGGCCAGCCCUCCUCAGCCUGCCCCACGCUCCCCCUUUGGCUUUAUCCCAGAACCUGAGGUGCUGCGUUGGAAAACCAAGCAGUUAAUAUUUAACAGGGUGAAGCGACAGCUCCUGACGUCAACAGGGCCAAAGCGUAAGGCACAUACAUUUGAAACAGAAUAAUAACAUCCACACUAAUGCAAGGACAUACGUGGUGCUGAAUCCGACGUUUUCCCUAGUGCUAUAUCCAGGCUGGAGUGUCGGCUUGUAAUACAUAACAUUUGUUACGUGGAGGGGUGCAAGUGCUGUCUGUCUAUGGGAUGGACACCCAGCUGUCAACCAGCUUUAGGCAGGUUGUGACAGCUAAAGGGGUGGACUUUUACAUCACAAAGUUACUCACUUUGGUGAGAGAGGAGGAGAAAGAAUGAAGAAGCAAAACCGCCAGUGUUUCUCAUUGUUCUUGUCCUUUGCGCUUAAUCAAUCGAAACAGUCUAGUUACAGUCUUUUAUUUAGUUUCCUGUUGGUCUCCAUCCAACUGGCACCCACCUUUCCACUCAACAGGGUGUUGCAGCUGCAACACCUACAGUCUGUGGUGGGUGCUCCCGGCACUGUGGUGUGUUCAUCAAGAGUCUGCACAGCUCUCACAUCUGCCCCACUGCUCCGUGCCUUACACAGCUCAUCCUUUUCCCCUACCCUGCACAACUGGCUCUCUGACUUGUCACCAUGGAUGACCCUUCACAAGGUCAGCCUUGCAACGGAGCCCAAAGCUCCUUCAUUUUCCUCUCCACUUGCGCUUUUCCCAGUCACCUUCUCUGUCUUACUCAGGCUCAAAGCUUUCCCCAGGAUGUGAAUUUUAUCCAUUUUCUUGGUUUGUUCAGUCUGGGAGGGGAGACUUCAUUGUGGUCUUCAACAUCCUUAUGAAGGGAAGCAAAGGGGCAAGUGCUGACUUCUUCCCUCUCGUGACCAGGGACAGGACUUGAGGACCAACACCAUGAAGCUGAGUCAGGGGAGAUUUAGGUUGGAUAUCAGGAAAAAGUUUCUCAUCCAAAAGCGGCUGAGCACUGAAACAGGCUUCCCAAGGAAGUGGUCACAGCACCAAGCCUGUCUGGGUUCAAGAAGCGUUUGAAUAACGCUCUCAGGCACAUGGUGUGAUUCUUGGGGUCAUGGCCAGGAGCUGGACUUGAUGAUCUUGAUGGGUCCUUUCCAACUCAGCAUCUUCUGUGAUUCUGUGAUCUGAGAAAUGCACUGAAUUAUGCAUGUGUGACAAACGAAGCUCCACGUGUCUUAUCUGCUGGUACUAAGCUAAGGAAAAUA